UGGCACUGUUCGUAACCUGCUGCCAGCCAUUUUCUGAUGGUGGGUUCCAUUCCGGUGCUACAGCAACACCCCAGACCUCAUCCAGAUUGACUCGGGUCUCUCUGUGCUGACAGUUGGGGGACAGCU